rnacentral:misc_RNA from 1 species
CUCUAUUCCAGCAGCCGCGGUAAUACGUUCCCGGGCCUUGUCACACACCGCCCGUCACAUCACGAAAGUCGGUUGCACUAGAAGUCGGUGGGCUAACCCGCAAGGGGGGCAGCCGCCUAAAGUGUGAUCGGUAAUUGGGGUGAAGUCGUAACAAGGUAGCUGUAGGAGAACCUGCGGCUGGAUCACCUCCUUUCUAAGGAGCAUUACCGCCUCGGAUCAAAACGAGGUCGCGAGAUGCCCUAGGUCGAAAGGAAUCGCAGUAACGUUCGUCUUGACCGUCUUUCCUGUUCAGUUUUCAGAGAAUCGCUCUCUUCCGAGCUCUAUGAAAAACGAAGCGCUGCGGUUGGCCGAUCGAAAACGGCUAUCGACCGUCACGAGUACCCGAAAGCGGGCCUAUAGCUCAGUUGGUUAGAGCGCACGCCUGAUAAGCGUGAGGUCGGUAGUUCAAAUCUACCUAGGCCCACCAUCACCACGACUCAGGCAUGGGGACUGUGUGCUGCUCUCGAUUCAACACCUAGUCCUCAUCCCUCAGUCCUCUG